rnacentral:rRNA from 1 species
GAUGAACGCUGGCGGCGUGCUUAACACAUGCAAGUCGAGCGAAGCGAUUUUAAUGAAGUUUUCGGAUGGAAUUAAGAUUGACUGAGCGGCGGACGGGUGAGUAACGCGUGGGUAACCUGCCUCAUACAGGGGGAUAACAGUUAGAAAUGACUGCUAAUACCGCAUAAGCGCACAGGACCGCAUGGUCCGGUGUGAAAAACUCCGGUGGUAUGAGAUGGACCCGCGUCUGAUUAGCUUGUUGGCGGGGUAACGCCCACCAAGGCGACGAUCAGUAGCCGACCUGAGAGGGU